AGAGUUGAUUAUGGCUCAGGAUGAACGCAGCUACAGGCUUAACACAUGCAAGUCGAGGGGCAUCGGGAAGAAAGCUGCUUCUUGCCGGCGACCGGCGCACGGGUGAGUAACGCGUAUCCAACCUUCCCCUUAGUAGCGGAUAGCCCGGCGAAAGUCGGAUUAAUACGCUAUGUUAUCCGAAGAGGACAUCUGAAUUGGAUUAAAGAUUGAUCGCUAAGGGAUGGGGAUGCGUCUGAUUAGGUAGUCGGCGGGGUAACGGCCCACCGAGCCAACGAUCAGUAGGGGUUCUGAGAGGAAGGUCCCCCACAUUGGAACUGAGACACGGUCCAAACUCCUACGGGAGGCAGCAGUGAGGAAUAUUGGUCAAUGGACGAGAGUCUGAACCAGCCAAGUAGGCGGUGCAGGAUGGACCGGCCCUAGUGGGUUGUAAACUGUCUUUUAUAGUGGGGAUAAAGUGAGGGACGUGUCCCUUUUGUAGGUACCAUAUGAAUAAGGACCGGCUAAUUCCGUGCCAGCCGCAGC
rnacentral:rRNA from 1 species